AAAUGAAAAGUAAAAUAUUACACUCAGUUUCGACCUGAAAAUUGACAUAAAAUUGUCUUCAU
rnacentral:tRNA from 1 species